rnacentral:lncRNA from 1 species
GUUUUCCUCCUACUUCUUGCCAACUCUUUUGGUCAGACUCUGACUUCCAAGUCCAGAGAUCGUUGUACCAAAGCACCUUCUGGCCUUUCUUAUGACUUAGUCAUGGAAGAUGAAUCAUGUCUGACCAGAGAUCUGGCAGAGAGGAGGCCCCAGUGAAAGCUGUUUGCUGGCUUUUCUACUCUUUAGGAUGGAUGUGGGAAAAAAAGCACGGGCUGCUUAAGAAAAUCAAGGCUCUGCUACCAAAGGCAGAAAUCUGAUUCAGGAGGAUUAUGAGGCUUGCAUACCUACUGCACCAACCCAUACGAAGUCAAUGAACAGGAUGAGGCCAAGUCAAUAAUACAGAUGAAGAGCAGUACAACCAUGUCUUCAUGCCUUACUGAAAAGCAAAGAUGUAUUUUAUAUCUGGAUUUUCUUUGCACUGAUAAAACGAUAUCAGC